UACAGAGGGUGCGAGCGUUGUUCGGAAUUAUUGGGCGUAAAGGGCGCGUAGGCGGUGCCACAAGUCACUUGUGAAAUCCCCGGGCUUAACUCGGGGCCUGCAGGCGAAACUGUGGUGCUGGAGUAUGGGAGAGGUGCGUGGAAUUCCCGGUGUAGCGGUGAAAUGCGUAGAUAUCAGGAGGAACACCGAUGGCGAAGGCAGGUCUCUGGGCCACUACUGACGCUGAGAAGCGAAAGCAUGGGGAGCGAACAGG
rnacentral:rRNA from 1 species